AAAACUCUUCACACGGGACAGCUACAACCAAGGAGAUCUGAUGGAAUUGCGCCUGGGAUUAUCGCAAAUGGAGCUGUGCCAUCUGUGCAUACAAGUCUACCAGUACCAGCAACAUAUGGCGGGAGUGAGUCUAGCACUAGCAGAGAAUCUGCGCGCCGAAAACGGGAGCUUUGUACAGAAAUUGCUGACAAGUGAAGAUGCCAGACUUUAGUUCAGCCUACGGAUGCGUUAAUCUGGGAACUCCCGUGCGAUCACCUUUCACCUAUUUUAGGAGAGAGUGCUGCCAGCAAAGAUAGGGCGCGUGCAACUUCCACUUUAGAGCCUGAAGAUGAUGGAGAUAAUGGAGACACCUCUAAGAUAGACCCUGAGCCAGUAGUGGACCAUCGUGGAUCUCAGUGCAACUUACGAUGUUUCCAUCGUUCAUUAGCUGUUCAGGUAAAGCCUCAGAUGGUGGAUGUGGGGACUCAAACCGAAAGGUUUGAGAUACGAAGAUCGACUCCACUGGCCAGUCCCGAACAGUCCCGAAGUAUGUGUAUUAACAAUUACUUUUGUUAUGAGAUGCGAUGUUUCAUGCAGGAUCACCAGCAGCCACUAAACUGGAGAGUACCGGUAGCUGCCAGGAAAGCACUGGUGAAAGAUGUUUGACAAUUGUCACCUCAGCAUCAGACAUUCUCCCCGGAGGCCUACCAUUCCCUCAUCCUGCACCUUGCUCCCAAACACACUGGUUUCUCUUUUCUUGGGAUGUACAGCAGUAAUGGCAACAGAGAUGUAGCUCGAACCAGUGAGGGUGAGGCACGCUACGCCGUUCGCUACCCGCGGUUUCGGAAAGGUGGCUGGGUAGUCCGCCCCAUCAAGGAGAAACCAUCUUACGGAUACGCAACAAAUCUUAUGGUCUCUCUGGCAGAGGAAUACUCUAGAUCACCCCAGGCCCUACAAGAAAGCAGUGCUGUCUUGUCUUCUGCUGCCCCGCCCCCCCUCACCACUUCCCUCCAGAAGGUUGCCAAGGAUGAGGCAGACAGCCUCCAUCUCGGACGACACUUGCGUUUUAACAUGGACUGCCGUGCUGCUUUCAAGUUCCUGGACACCAGAGCUCAGGAGCACCUGUCACGGGACUGCUGGAAGACCACAGAGGCUAUUAUCACAGAGGCCACUUCUGGAAAUCUCGGAAACAAUGUUAUGAAACGAUAAGUCCUCCUCAACUCUUUUCUGAAACCCAUCGGUCCCUUUCUGCCUCAAAAAAGUCAGACUGCUGGAACUCCAUCCAGGUCAACUCCUUGGCCAUGCCCUUGUCCUUGUAAAGGGACAACACUCUGGAGGGGCAGUAUAUGUAUUUCCCUCGGAUGUCAGGAAAACAGGCAUGGACAUGAGGGCUGCCAGGACCCUACUUCGGUGGCUGGUGACAAAAUCUGAACAGGCGACCUGUUGGACGCUGCAGUGCAGACUUUCUCUUUGUCCUCUCUGCCACAUUCUUUCACGCUGCACUCCUCUCUUCUACAGCCUCAAGCUCUCUGGCAAGAAAGGGGGAGGCAGCAAAGUCCUCAAAAGACAUCCUGGGGUCUUUGAGGCCUUCAUCUCCAUGCAUUUGAAAGACUCGGUGGAGCAGUAAAAGUACUACACCUCAGGGGACUGAAAGAAAAGUGAACAGUGGAUCCAUCGCAAAGGUACCUGGACUUUGGCUGACCACAGGACAAGCUGUUUCUGGGAACCUUUUUCUUCUGCUGUGGUUGUUGCUGCUGUUUCUGCAGGAUCUCUGUCACAAUCUUCUCCACUGUGGCCCGGCUCAGUGACUCCUCCGGGGGAGGGAGCCACAGCUGGAGGGUUGACGGUUGCAGGAGGCAGGGUUGUGACGGGUACAUAGACUCUUUGGCUGCCUGUGGUCAAACUGCCAAAGUUGCUGAGUCUCCAAAACCUUCUCUGGGCUAGUGUUGAGAGAGGAGUUGGUGUUCUUCAGCUUGGCCUGAUGCUUUACAUAUUUUGAGAUAUGUUGGCAUGUGGUAGGAUGAAGGAGGCUGUUGGGAUCAGUGCACGGCCUCUGCACCGUGGCAGCAUAUUCUGCAUCCACCCUCUUUAGAAUACCCUUGGCUCCAUUGUGUUUAGCCAGAAGCCCAUCGGUGGCUGCUCUCAUGGGGGCCGUCCACCGGCCGUGGUCCAGGACUUGAACCAGGCCUCCCGUCUUAAUGGGUCCAGUGCGGGCGGCUCGAGGAGAGCAGGAUAUGGGCAGUGGCGCUACCCCUCGCAGGUCUUGGGAAUAAAGCAUAUGUUUAUUAUAUUGUCUAUAUUAUUAUUACAAGCUAAUUUUAUACAGUAGCCAUAUGUGAAGUUGUUUUUAACGGUUAACUGUUGUGCAUGAGGAAUGGUAGGUGGGUAAGGAUCGGCACUGCUCCCACUGGGUUGUCCUGGGAAGUGCCAUCACUGGUCUCCUGAAAUACAGCAUCAAAUAUAAUGAAUGAGUCAGUCAUUCUGUCAGCGGGUUGGAAAUUGACAGUGUGUGAAUCAUCUGGAUUACCUGAGAGUCUGUGCCCGCUACAAUGUCAUGCACUUCAUCCUGGGCAGAGGAGUGCAGCUGUGUCGCCACGGUUACAGCA